CCAACUCUAAAUUUUUAAUGCUUUUUCUCUCUCCACUUUAUUCCUUUUUCUUUUCUUUUUCUUUCUUUUCUCUUUCUCUCUCUUCCUUUCUAACUCUCGGCCUUCCUUUCUUCUCACCUUCUCUCUCCCCGAUUCUCUUUCCUCACAAACUCUCUCUUAAAUCUAUCAAGUUCCUAUGUCCCUCGCCAUCAACCAUUCACCCCCUCUCACCCUCUUUGCUCUGGCAAAGCCCAAGGCUUCCUUUCUCUUCGUGCCGCCAUCCUCCAUUGAUUCCGGUGAACUCUUGGCCUGCGGCCAAGCCUCAUCUCAUCGGUGUAGCUCUCCAAUCUCUCUAUUCUCUUCUUUCUCUCGACCUCCAGCCGAUUUAGGUCAAGGAGAGGCCGAUUCAAACCGGCUGGACCUCUGCAAGUUCCGGCGAAACUCCGAUCAUCCUUUCCGGCCACGGUAGGCCAAAAAUUCUUGGAUUCAUCCCAAGUCUCUUUCUCUCUUCGUCUCCUAUUCUCAUUUUCGAUUCGGAUGCAGAGUAGACAAAAGACACUUGCCCGAAAGAGAGUAGCCAGAGCUACACAGCCUCCUCCAUCUCUAGAGGAUGAAUCUUCUUCAUCAUCUGAGGCUACUGCAUCUACAUUCGCAUCUUCAGGGCUAUCUUAUAUGAAUGCACAAAGCCCCAUUUUCAGGGUAAUGCCUACUCCCUACUUCUCCGGCAGGAAAUUGGAAUCGGAGUACAGAUUUGACAGAGAGCUAUUUGCCGAGUUAGAGCAGACCCAGUGGUCUUUUAAUGAGCUUACCCGCAGGGGCAUAGAUGCUAUCAUGACUAGCAGACACUAUAGUAUACCCCCAAUUGGUUGCUCUAUUUUUCCAGCACCUCCGGAUGGAUGAGGAUGAUCGCCAGCUCAUGCACACGACCGUAGAUGGUUAGGACAUUGAUAUUUCUAUCCUUGCCAUUGUUGCCUCCUGCCAAUGCCCUCAUCUCUCACCAGUGGUCGCUAACUUCGAGGAGCCUCUGUAUCCAAUCAUUUCAACUUACCUUGUUGAGAUGACUAUGGUUGCUACACUCUCCCCAUAGGCAGCCUUUUUAGGCAAUAUAUUGCAGAUCGGGUCAAUAUUGAUCCCUGCUAUUGGUUCUUAGUUUCUGUGCUGCAUCUUAAUGCCUUUCCUUCAGGCCAUGGAACACAAAGGCGAGAGGGGAUUCUGAAGGCUCUAUACAAUUUGAGCCAGGGUUGCUGAAUAUCUAUUCCUGCUCUUAUCUGGGAGAUUAUUCUUAAGUACCGAAACAAUCUGAUUUUCAAGCACAAUUCCAGAGUUGAUACUUGGCCUUUACCAUUUGGCCAUCUGAUCACACAGAUAUUGAUUGACCAGGGUUAUUCAUUUGACCCAGCUGAAAUUACAAAGCUUGGAGAGCAGAGAGAGAAAAGGGUGUAUGAUAACAAAUAGUGGACUAAGACUUAAAAUGCUUGCUUGAAGAAUAGGAAGAAUAGAGAGCAGAAGAGGUAACGAGCUCAGUAGAGAGCAGAGGAGGAGGCAAACGAGGGAUCACCUUCUUCCUCCAGACCAGACAAAGGCAGCGUACUACUACUUCCACAUCCACGUCACUGCCUAGUCCACCUCUUCCUCCACAUCCGUCUCAGUAGCCAGGCCCCUCAUAUGUUCCUCCUUCAGAGCAGAUGCUCCAGGCUGACACUCAUUCUCAUCAUGCCAGUUUAGAUUCUAGCCACAGAGCUGACGUGACUCAGCUGCAUUCAGGUUUUACUUCUUUCAGAGCUGACAUGACGGGGCAGCAUGACGAUUUGGUGAGGUGGCAUGAUGACUUAGCCAGGUGAUCUAGCAAGGGCUGUAGCCAAUACGAGGAGAGACAUCUCAGAUUUGCGGAUAGAUAUUCAGACGUCUUUCACUCAACAUAGUCGGGAAAUGUCAGAUAUGCUCCAGAUCAUUCCUGACAUGCUUGAGCCGGAUGCUUCUCCAUGAUUCCACCAUUCUCUCUCUCUAUUACUCAUUCCAUGAUCUGAUACAUUUUUAUAUAUUGAUAUUUUUGGAGAUAUUUGCUCUGUGUUGCGAUAUUUACAUUGGUUUUGGAUAUUAUUUUGUACUGCACUAGAUACACAUGGUUUUAGAUAUUGGUUUUGGAUUUAUUUGCAUAUAUGGAUUGUUGGGAUUUUGACAUUAUUGAUUUUGGUUUUGGAUAUUCUGCGCUUUAUAUUGUUAUAUGCUAUGGAUUUUUGCCCA